GGAUAUGGGACAAAUGAAGAGGAGGGGGAGAGAGGAUGGGUAUAGGACACAUGGAGGGGAGGGGGUAAAGAGAGGGUAUGGUACACAUGGAAGGGAAGGGGAGAGAGGGAAGAAUGGGAGGGAAGAGAGGGAGGGUAUGGGACACAUGGAUGGGAACGGUAGAUAGGGAGAAAUGGGACACAGGGAGGGGGAGAGGGAGAAAUUGGACAUAUGGAGGGGCUGGGAGGGAGGAAGGUAUGGGAAAAAUGAAG